rnacentral:rRNA from 1 species
GAUGAACGCUAGCGGCAGGCUUAAUACAUGCAAGUCGAGGGGUAGCAAGAUUGUAGCAAUACAAUUGUUGACGACCGGCAAACGGGUGCGGAACACGUACACAACCUUCCUACAAGUGGGGAAUAGCCCAGAGAAAUUUGGAUUAAUACCCCGUAACAUAGCGAUGUGGCAUCACAUUGCUAUUAUAGCUUCGGCGCUUGUUGAUGGGUGUGCGGCUGAUUAGAUAGUUGGCGGGGUAACGGCCCACCAAGUCUACGAUCAGUAGCUGAUGUGAGAGCAUGAUCAGCCACACGGGGACUGAGACACGGGCCCGACUCCUACGGGAGGCAGCAGUAAGGAAUAAUGGACAAUGGACGCAAGUCUGAUCCGGCCACGCCGCGUGAAGGAUUAAGGUCCUCUGGAUUGUAAACUUCUUUUAUAAGGGACGAAAAAAGGUCUCUCUAGAUCGUCUGACGGUACCUUAUGAAUAAGCACCGGCUAACUCCGUGCCAGCCGCCGCCGCGGUAA